GGUCGUUUUACAAGUAUAUUGAAUGGUCGUUUUAGGCUUUGGGAUUCUACGUUGUUUCUACUUCAAAUUAUUUUAGGAGUGUUUUGAAAACUCGACUGCAAAAUUCAGAUGUUAGGAAAUAUGGCUGUCGACGCCACACGGUCAUGUGCCAGGCCGUGUGGUAGGCUGUGUAACUCAUUGUUCACGAAUUAGAGACACAAGGGCUAAGGACACGAGUGUGUGUCUAGAUCGGGUGUGGGAAUGUUUAGUGCAGAGUUCGUACAGGCUAAGGACACAACUGUGAGCCUAGGCCGUGUAACUCACUGUUUGUGAAUUAGGACCACACGAGCCAGCUAUUCUGGCUGUGUGAAACCACACAGGCGUGUGGAUCAAUAUUUGAAAUUUUUCCCUUAGGCCUCGAGUAUCAUUUGAAACGAAUGUAGGCCUUCCAUAUGGUUAGUAUGAACCAAAUUAGACUAUAUAAUUUGACAUUGUAUGAUCUGAGAUUGAGUAUGGAAUAUCUGCAUACGUGUUGACUGUGACAACCAUUAAUGAGAUUGUUAUAUUCUGUGUAAGUAUAAACUGUAUCUGAAUGAUCGUAUAAAUCUCCUUGUUUAUUGUCAUCUGAGGUCUGCAUCUGUUUUGGGGUGGGAAUUUGUAUAAAGAAGGAAGUGCUCUGUUAUGAAUUAGUGAUUAAAUCAUCGGUAUCUAUAAUCUGAUCUGGUAGCUAGCCUGCAAUUACUGAAACAUGUCAUACUGACACUAUGUGGUGUGUGGGGUUGGAUGGGUAUUAAUUACUCAUUUUGGUGUGUUGGGCUGGUUGGAGAUGGCGUGUAGCAGAUGAAGGUAGGAUAAUUGCAUCUAUUCUAAUCUGUUCUAUAUCUGACAAUGAUUUGACUCAUUAUCUGUCUGGUCUGUUCUGGUUUGUUAAUUGAACGAAUUGCCUCUUGAGUCUGAUUCAGAAUCUAAACUUGGAACUUUAUUGGUUUACUCUAAACUCUACUGAAUAUGUAAUUGUUUCCUCAUUACAUUGUUAAUUCAUUUUGUUUGUUGAUUGAAUUACAGGUAACACAAAGGCUUGAUUAGGUCGGCGGACCGGGAGCUCGGUCAUGUUAUUUAUUAGCUAUUGUUAUUAUCCAUGUUAGUAGUUUAUUUUCAGAAUAUUGGGGAAAUUCGACUUACUAAGAUUGUGAACCUCAUAUUCAACUUUAUGUUGUUAAAUUUCUUUAACUUCUAGAUGACUUUAAAAACUAAGUUUCGGGAGUUAUGUUUUGAUAAAUAUUCUAUGUAGCUCUCUAGUAUUGGCCUUGUUGUCUAGGCAGGGUAUGGAGUGUUAUAGUUUCUCCCAAUAAUUUUCAAUUCAAAAACUAGAUAUGUGUUCCAAAUCUCCA
rnacentral:lncRNA from 1 species